rnacentral:rRNA from 1 species
UACGUAGGUGACAAGCGUUGUCCGGAUUUACUGGGCGUAAAGAGCGCGCAGGCGGUCGAUCAAGUCGAGUGUGAAAGCCCCCGGCUCAACUGGGGAGGGUCAUUCGAUACUGAUCGACUCGAAGGCAGGAGAGGGUAGUGGAAUUCCCGGUGUAGUGGUGAAAUGCGUAGAGAUCCGGGAGGAACACCAGUGGCGAAGGCG